AGAGCGAACGCUGGCGGCAGGCCUAAUACAUGCAAGUCGAACGGACCCUUCGGGGUUAGUGGCGGACGGGUGAGUAACACGUGGGAACGUGCCCUUUGGUUCGGAACAACUCAGGGAAACUUGAGCUAAUACCGAAUGUGCCCCCAUCCUUAAACAAGAUGGGUGGGAAAGAUUUAUCGCCAUUGGAGCGGCCCGCGUCUGAUUAGCUAGUUGGUGAGGUAAAGGCUCACCAAGGCGACGAUCAGUAGCUGGUCUGAGAGGAUGAUCAGCCACACUGGGACUGAGACACGGCCCAGACUCCUACGGGAGGCAGCAGUAGGGAAUCUUGCGCAAUGGGCGAAAGCCUGACGCAGCCAUGCCGCGUGAAUGAUGAAGGUCUUAGGAUUGUAAAGCUCUGUCGGAGGGGACGAAAAUGCGAACCGUGAAUAGCGGUUCGUACUGACGGUACCCUCGAAAGGAAGCACCGGCUAACUUCGUGCCAGCAGCCGC
rnacentral:rRNA from 1 species